ACUCUUCGUGACCCCAUGAACGAGAGCACGCCAGGCCCGCCUGUCUUCCUCCUGUCUUGCCAAAUAGGAAUAGGCUCCUUGAAACAGAGGUGGGUAAAAGAUUCCAUUAAAGAAAAAGAAGAUCAAUGUUAACUUGAUUUGAUGGAUAAAACAGGAUGCCACAGGGAAAGAAAAGCAACACAAGUCUCAUAAGUACAUGCAUAUGGCUGCUUCCACCACAGCUGAGAAUGAGGCAGCUCAAGAAAAUGAUGUUCGAUUGCAUCCACACUCGUCUCCAA